rnacentral:rRNA from 1 species
AGAGUUUGAUCCUGGCUCAGAACGAACGCUAGCGGCGCGUUUCAGGCAUGCAAGUCGGUACGGUACCGGUCCCUUCGGGGAGCCGACGAGUGGCGCACGGGUGAGUAACGCGUAGGUAAGCUACCAUUAGGUUAGGGAUAGCCCUACGAAAGUAGGAUUAAUACCUUUUAUACUUGUUAUACUUAAGUAUAAUAAGGAAAGGCUUUUGCCGCCUUUUGAUGUGCCUGCGUUGGAUUAGCUUGUUGGUGGGGUAACGGCUCACCAAGGCGACGAUCUAUAGCCGAGCUGAGAGGCUGAUCGGCCACAUUGGAACUGAGACACGGUCCAGACUCCUACGGGAGGCAGCAGCUAAGAAUCUUCCGCAAUAGACGAAAGUCUGACGGAGCGACGCCGCGUGAAUGAUGAAGGCCCUUCGGGUUGUAAAGUUCUUUUAUAGGGGAAGAAAGUUUGGUGUAGGCCAAUCUGACGGUACCCUCUGAAUAAGGUCCGGCUAACUACGUGCCAGCAGCCGCGGUAACACGUAUGGGACGAGCGUUGUUCGGAAUCAUUGGGCGUAAAGGGCGCGUAGGCGGCGAGGUAAGCCUGGUGUGAAAGACCGCAGCUUAACUGCGGAACCGCGCUAGGAACUGCUUUGCUUGAGUUCAGGAGGGGGAGCUGGAAUUCCAGGUGUAGGGGUGAAAUCUGUAGAUAUCUGGAAGAACACCGGCGGCGAAGGCGAGCUCCUGGCCAUGAACUGACGCUGAGGCGCGAAAGCGUGGGGAGCGAACAGGAUUAGAUACCCUGGUAGUCCACGCUGUAAACGAUGUGCACUAGGUGUUGGGCCACGAAGGUUCAGUGCCGGAGUCAACGCGUUAAGUGCACCGCCUGGGGAGUAUGCUCGCAAGGGUGAAACUCAAAGGAAUUGACGGGGGCCCGCACAAGCGGUGGAUUAUGUGGUUUAAUUCGAAGCAACGCGAAGAACCUUACCUGGUCUUGACAUCCUGAUAAGGUGCUAGAGAUAGUACCAACCUCUUCGGAGGAGUCAGAGACAGGUGCUGCAUGGCUGUCGUCAGCUCGUGUCGUGAGAUGUUCGGUUAAGUCCGGCAACGAGCGCAACCCCUAUUGCUAGUUGCCAGCAUUAAGUUGGGCACUUUAGUGAUACUGUCUGUGUUAAGCAGGAGGAAGGUGGGGAUGACGUCAAGUCCUCAUGGCCCUUAUGACCAGGGCUACACACGUAAUACAAUGGUUGGUACAGAGGGAAGCCAAGGAGCAAUCCGGAGCUGAUCCCACAAAGCCAUUCUCAGUUCGGAUUGGAGGNUGCAACCCGCCUCCAUGAAGUUGGAGCUGCUAGUAACCGCAGGUCAGCACACUGUGGUGAAUACGUUCUCGGGCCUUGUACACACCGCCCGUCACGCCACGGAAGCUGGCAAAACCUGAAGUCGAUGUGCUAACCCUUUGGGAGGCAGUCGCCGAAGGUUGGGNUAGUAAUCUGGGGCGAAGUCGUAACAAGGUAACC